rnacentral:rRNA from 1 species
CGCAUCUGUGCAUGCAGCAUAUCAAUAAGCGGAGGAAAAGAAACUAACAAGGAUUCCCUCAGUAACGGCGAAUGAAGCGGGAAGAGCUCAAAUUUGAAAUCUUGAAAGGUCACCUUUCACGAAUUGUAGUUUAAAGAAGUGUUUUCUGUUACGAUCGUAAUAUAAGUUCUUUGGAAUAGGACAUCACAGAGGGUGAGAAUCCCGUCUAUGAUUGCGAUUUGUAGCUUUGUGAUACACUUUCAAAGAGUCGGGUUGUUUGGGAAUGCAGCCCAAAACGGGAGGUAAAUUUCUUCUAAGGCUAAAUAUUGGCGAGAGACCGAUAGCGAACAAGUACCGUGAGGGAAAGAUGAAAAGAACUUUGAAAAGAGAGUUAAAUAGUGCGUGAAAUUGUCAAAAGGGAAGCGUUUAACACCAGUGUUGUUUUCUGAAAAUCAACCUCUGUUAGCUUUAUGCAUGUUUGUUUAGACCUAAUCAGCUAUCUUGCAUGUUCUAUUGUUUGCAGUGGUGCACUUUUCAGUUUACAGGUCAACAUCAGUUUUUUUUACCGUAAAAAAGUUAAAGAAAGGUAGCUCAUGGCUCCGGUCGUGAGUGUUAUAGUCUUUUUCCUAUGCGGUAGGAGAGACUGAGGUCUGCAGUGUAGGCUAUUUGGCUAGAUACUCAGGUGCUAUGUGAUACCAUUUCAUAAACAACUUGUUGAUUAUGUUUUGUCUAUUGCAUACUCGCUUGUACUAUCAUACCUACGCUUAGGAUGUUGACGAUCAGCUGAGCGCGA